AAAGUCGUAACAAGGUUUCCGUAGGUGAACCUGCGGAAGGAUCAUUAACACGUAUCCUCAAAAAAUACAAUUGUUUUUUUUUAAACUCAAAAAAAACUCGUGAACAACUUGGAUUUUUUUCCAAGUUCCCUCUACCCUAUUUUUUUCAAACACCAUUGAAUUUUUAUUCUUUUUCAUUUAUGAACUGAAUACUUAAAGUCUUUUUUUUUGAAAGAAAAAAAAGAUGAAAAAUUACGAAAUGCUGAACAACUCUUAACAACGGAUAUCUUGGUUCUC
rnacentral:misc_RNA from 1 species